AAUUGAGAGUAAUGUUAAUCCUUUUGGAUAUCAUUAACUUUUCAUCCCCAACAAGUCUUCGGGAUCUUCUUAUUCCUCAAAGGAGUCUUCUGUUAGCCAAGAGCAUAUGAACAUACAAUUAUUCCCCAAAGAAAGUCUUUUGUUUAUUUCCCAGCAGGUUGCAUCAACCAAGAGCAGUUGAAUGUAGUGGUUUUAGCCAAGAGCAGUUGGACACCAUUUUAUUU
rnacentral:lncRNA from 1 species